GCCCGGCUAGCUCAAUCGGUAGAGCGUGAGACUCUUAAUCUCAAGGCUGCGGGUUCGACCCCCGCGUUGGGCU
rfam:Macrophomina phaseolina MS6 contig00284, whole genome shotgun sequence.